rnacentral:rRNA from 1 species
UACGAAGGGAGCUAGCGUUGUUCGGAAUUACUGGGCGUAAAGCGCGCGUAGGCGGACCGUAAAGUUGGGGGUGAAAUCCCAGGGCUCAACCCUGGAACUGCCUCCAAAACUCACGGUCUUGAGAUCGAGAGAGGUGAGUGGAAUUCCGAGUGUAGAGGUGAAAUUCGUAGAUAUUCGGAGGAACACCAGUGGCGAAGGCGGCUCACUGGCUCGAUACUGACGCUGAGGUGCGAAAGCGUGGGGAGCAAACAGG